CUUACAGGUGAGGAGAAGGGCCUGAAUGCACAUCACAGCUAAUGAAAAGAAAGAAAAAGCUAAAGAGCCCAGUGUGGGGUCUACACAGCAAGGCUGCAGUGGUCCAAUGUGGGUCUCUGAGGUCCCGGAGGAGGAAGUGCAUUUGCAGAAUGGUUAAGAGCCCAGACUCUGAAAUCAGCACUACAGCUCUGUCACUUACAGAUACUGCAUGGUCCAAGUAAGCAUGGAUUUGGGAUCGACUGAGGGAUGUGAAGAAGAACAAAGGAGUCAGUUCUCUACUGCCACUGAUCUGGACAAGAGCCAUCCUGCACCCCAUCUACAGCCGUACAAUUCAAUGUGUAGUUGCCUGAAUAUUUCAACAUCUUUCAUUUGUUGGAGUCCUUGAAGAUGCCACCCUCUGCCUGGAAUGCUCUCCUUCCAUCAGUUUGACAAACAAACUUAAAGUCCUUUCUGUAGCUAUCUGUGAUGUUCCCAACAAAUUUAGUAGUUGCUUUUAAUGCUACUUCUGUGCUUUGGACAUAUUCGCAUUAUAGUAAUAUCUGGUUGUACUGUAA